CAGAAUCUAUAACAACAAAACUGGUACAUUCGUCUCAUCUACUUUUAACAAUACAAAUGCAUACCUAGCAUAUAAACAAACUAGUCACAAUUAGCAAAAACAUACGCAUGUUCGAUACCUAGUUCCACAACAUACACGAGCAGAUCGUGAAGAAAACAAUAAAUGAUGAUUACACAGAAGGGGCUAGGGGUUGCAUAUGAACUUUCAAGGAUGAAUUACUCUGAAUUAGCAACAUUUCUCUAUCUUCGAGCUCAGGUAAAAGACGACAAAUAUAGGAGGUGGAAAGCCCUCACCGAACAACUGUAUAGCUCUAUCCAGCUCACCACUAUUGUAAAAGCUCAUUAACUUUUGUUCUAACUAGAGCUAGGCCAUAAGGAGCUGAGUCUCGCUGCAAUUUUUGCACUCUUGUAGUCCUCCCGAAGCUGAAUGAACCUCUGUGCAUCUUUCCUAAUGCUCGGGGUUCCCUCAAAGAGUGUUGAUAGACUUUCAGGUGCAACAAUAAACACGUUUGCCAUGAUGCCCAACUGUUCAAAUUUCUCAUCAACUGAAGGUGCAUUGAAACUACGAACAAACUCCCCAUACUCUGUUAUAUCACGCUUCAAACGCAAUCCUCCACUUGCAUUGAAGGUGAACUUUUGCCAAUGAUUAAGCAAGCCUUUGUGUAAACGAUUCCCCAAUUCAGUCAAAAAGGCUUGUUUGUUAAGCCCUUCCAGCGCUGUGAAUGCCGAUUCAAGCACCCUUGAAAGGUAUGCGACAACUUUUGAACAAGCUUGUGUUGGCCGAUGGUCUGGGACAAUGCUGUCAUCAGGUGAUCGAUAAUCUGCGACUUUUUGUUCAGUUGACAGUACACGUUCCACCUCUGCCAUAACAGUUUCAAUACACUGCUGAAGCCCCUUAUAAGCAGCACCCUCUGCACUUGACAUAGCUGUAGCCAUUUCUUCACAAGAAGCAGCAUGCGCACCAUCCACAGGCAGUAAAAGUCGAGAUAUAGAGUUUGCAAAAUAUUGCUGCACAAUAGCCACACUG
rnacentral:misc_RNA from 1 species